AGCAGAACCCGCUGCCUCCAGGUCCGACCAGACCUGCAUAGGUAGAGAGUCCCCGCACAGGGCGGCCAGCAGAGCUACCCAGCUGCCCCAGGGCCUCGGGACCCCUGGGCCUGGGACCCAGGCCAGACCCUGACUCAUUCGGUGAUCUCACAGGACUCCUCCCACCCCAAGACCCUUUCAGGGACCCUGCCUCGAACUCCACGACAUGGGAGGCAGGGGCGGGCCUUUUGCAGGGGAAGGACUCCCCCAGCAGGACGUUUACUGAAUCUGGAGGGAGUCGCCCUGCAGAUAUCCCGCGGAAGCCGGAGGAGACCCAGGUGCGCCCCACCGGCUAGCUGCGCCUGCGGGUGCCCAAAUUGGUGUCCGGGCCAUCCUCACCGCAGUGACUCCUCCGCAGCGCCAACGCACUCCAUUUUCCUUCCACCCUGCCGGUGGGGGGCGUUUGCUUGUUCUCACUCUGCAGCCGCAGCCAGUGGCGCCGCUACCAAGGUCCCCGCCUCGCCAUCCGGGUCCUGCCUGAGCAUCCUUAUUGGUGCUCAGGGCUAGGCGUGCAUUGCUGCUAGGGGCGCGGAAAGGUUUAUCGUGGGUGGAUGCUGCCCGGGGCUUGAGUGGUUUUUAGAGGUCUUGAGUGGCUCACUCUCCAAUCAGCGCUUUCUAGAGACAGCGUGGUCAGCGUACUUGCUUACUUUCAGGAUUGCGAGACGUCUUUAACCCUUGCUGAUCGGCUGACGCUGCAGCUUCCUGUGGCUUCCUGCUCAUUUCCCGCAAGAUAGCACUGAUAGGCAAUUCCAUUUUGGAAAAUUUAUCCUGAGGAAAUAAAUAAAGAUGUAAACAGAGAAUAACUUACAGAUGUGACGUUUGUGAUCGUUAAAACUGGAAACAGCGCAAGAGUGGACGAUAGGGGAUGAGAGAGCCACACAGCGCAUAGAAGAUGAUCAGUCUGAAGAGAGGGUUUUCAGACAUGCAAUUAACUGCUAUUCACUGUACUUCAUUUUAACUGCAAACUAGCAGUCUCUUUCCCCAGGAAAAAAGAGGUCAACUCGGAGGAGCCAGGGAUUCAGCCCACUCUGGACAACACUCAGAGCCAUGGCACCUACCUGUAUGAAAAAAAAUUGUUAAGCAGCUGCCACUCCUAGUUACUGGCCUCUGCUCGGUGACUGAUGCACUUCUAACAUCCUUGUCCCAGGAUAAAGACCUUGUAAUGGAGAAAAAAGAUGGCAGGGAUCCUUUCCAUGGAAUUUCGGCUGUUGUCUAGUGGACCUUCCAGGAAUUGUCUGAUUCUAUGGGAGUGCGCAACUUUGACUGUUCAGUUGGGCCAAUUGGCAACACUGUAGAGACGGAAACUAACUUGUGGAGGGCUGAGGGUGAUACAGACAUUUUCUGUCCGUGGUAAUGCAAAAGGUGUUCAUAGCAAUGCAAAUGGAUUUUAUCCAAUGGGGGAGAUAAAUAUUUGAACGGGCUCUCUUGUUAAUUACUAGUUAAUCAAAAUAUUUGACAUGUAUUCAUUCUAUAUUUAUAGGGGAGUCAUGAUUCUACCUUUUUGGAAAUGACCCUCUAGCAGUUUUAUUGGUCCUAUGAGAUACACAGUAGAUUCACCAGCCAGAGCCAGAUGAGCUGCACAGUUGCCAAAGGGAACUUCAGAUGCCACCAGAGCCUCAGCUCUGUCCUCCCUCACCUCCCAAGGUGACUUCCAAGCAGCCACAGAACUUUAAUUUUACUUACUCUCUGUUUCUCUAGUUUUAUUUUUCUAAUCUUUACUGAAUUUGUGUCUGUGGUUUUAUUUCUGGUUUAUUCCUGACUAUAAGUUAUUCCCUAUUCUUGACAACAGUGAUUGAGAAUUUGGUUUUUGGCCUGACCAUUUAGUCAUCUCUGUAGAUGGAUGACACAGAUCUAAUUCCUUUCAAGUGAGAGACAACAGGAAAUCCGGUUUGUUGGUCCUUUCUUGUUUGUUUAUUUUGAGCUCCAGUCAGUUAGAAAUUUAGUGCCCGCUGCAAAGCACAGCUCUUUGAGACUUGGGAUUGGUAAGAGGGUGUGUUGCUUACUUCUGGCCUGUGGCUGAAUUUGCAGGGCCAAAGCCAAAAUCUCUCCAUAUGUCUGUCAUCUGUGAUCCAUGUGUCUGCAAGUCUAUAACUGAGAAAAGCCUUGAUUCCGUGAUAUGUGAGUGUGAAAUAAAUUAAUAAAUUAGUUAUGUCUCUUAAAUCAAAGGAGCUCUGUUCUUACUAGUUUAUAGGAAAAAAGGCACUUAUAUAUCUUAUAUAUCUCAUAUUUCUAGCUUCUAGUGCUUUCAAUGUGUUAGGCUUUUUAAAAUAUCCUUCAUACAGAAACUGCUACCUUAAAUACAUUUUAUAAAACCAAGUUCCUGUAACUAAGGUAAAUCUGUGGCAAGUCAAACUAGCUUAAUAAUUUUGGUUUUUAAAAAACAGAUUGGUCUUGUCUUUGAUUUACAGUGUUAAGUAUAAUUCAAUUGUGUAUUUGAUCAAAUCUCUCAUGAAGAGAAUAAUCUGGUCUUCUUAAAUAGUUUAUCAAAAAGAUAACAUUAGUCUAAUACAAUGUCACUAUUAUGAAAACUGAAUAUUGGUAUUACUCUAAAUUGAAUCACUAUUUAGACACAUCCGUUACCUCAACCUAUGUUUUGUAGUAUAAUUUAUCCAAUUAAAUAAAUGUCCAAGAUCUUUAGAUAACUUAGAACCUGGAAUCUUCAGAUAAAUCAGAACCUGACCCUGAAUGGAGUUAAUUAAUAGAUAAUCAUCAGAUACCUAGAUAAACGAAGUAGGAUAUAACACUAAAACAUGGAUUGCUAAGCCUACUUUUAGGCUUAUCCACUUUUGCUCCUUAUUUUUAUAUUCUGCAGAAAGCCUGGAUCUUUGAGUUGUGUUGAUGGGCAUAUUCGUGUUUGCCACUUGAAGGAGUAAGAGGCCCGCGUGGAUCUGGAGGCAAGUGGCUGUGCCCUCCUGCAAUCUGCUCACCUGCAGAAAUGCUCGCGUAGGGCAGCUCUCAAUUUUCUGCCACCUCCUCAGCUUUUUCUGUGAAACAGAAGUUGGUUACUUUGGAUGAAAAUUAUCUUUCAUAUAGGUGGUUGGUACACGAAGCAAUAGUGACAAAUAAAACUCUGUGUGCGUGCUUCUGUUUUGUCAUGCAAUGAAAAGUAGUUUUGUUCCAGAAUAUGAAUGAACACAGUGAAUGAAGGUCUAAAGAAGUGAAUGUUAUUUGCCUUGGUUUAUAAUACCUGAGUCUGAAAAGAGACAUGAAGUAACUUAGAUCUUAGCAAAGUUUCCUCACUUUUGAUGGGCUUGCCGCCUUGGCUUACUGGUCACCGCCUUCAUCUACAGCAGGGGUCCCCAAUCCCCGGGCUAUGGUCCAGCAACAGUCCAUGGCCUGUUAGGAACCGGGCCACAUAGCAGGAGAUAAGCGGUGGUUACAGCUGCUCCCCAUCACUCACAGUACUGCCUGAGCUCUGCCUUCUGUCACGGUGGCAUGAGAUUCUCACAGGAGUAUGAACCCCUAUUGUAAACUGUGCAUGCAAGGCAUCUAGGUUGUAUGCUCCUUAUGAGAAUCUAAUGCCUGACAAUCUGUCACUCUCUCCCAUCACCCCCAGAUGGGACCAUCUAGUUGCAGGAAAAUAAGCUCAGGCCUCCACUGAUUCUAUAUUAUUGUGAGUUGUAUAAUUAUUUCAUUAUAUAUUACAAUGUAAUAAUAAUAGAAAUAAAGUGUACAAUAAAUGUAAUGUGCUUGAAUCAUCCAGAAACCAUCCCCCCAUCCCAGUCCGUGGAAAAAAUGUCUUCCAUGAAACCGGUUCCGGGCGCCAGAAAGGCUGGGGACCACUGACCUGCAGCACAAAGGCUAUUCUUUACCUUCCUUGUGGUCUGCCUGACAGCAAAAGUGUGUGUCUUGCCAGAAAAAUUUCUGUGCCUUAUGCUGACUUCAUUCAGUCCUUGAGUAUUUAAACAAAACAAUACAAAAACUCACUUGUGAAAGAGAUGAUUCUUUAAACUCAUGUCACCUUCUGUUUACUUUUACAUUUGUUUGCAUUAUUAAAAGAGUAAGCAAGAAUUAUUUCUUCAGCACCCAUGAUAUGCUCUGAGUCAAGUGCCUAAAUCUUCUCUGACAACUCUUUUGAUUUUUCCUUCUAGAGAUCAGAUCCUAAAUAUAGAAAGAGUAAAAGAAAACUUUUUAUCUUGAACUAAAACAUUCUUUGAAACUUCCCAGAGGGCCCCUGGAAAUUCACGAGAUUUGUACUUUCACCCUAUGAAGCAAGAGCAAGAGAGGCCAGAAGUAAUUAUGUUUAUUAUUCUUUAAUCAGCAUCUGAAGAGAUGCUCAGCCUCCCUAGGUUAAGUUUGUAUCAGUAAACUCAUUAUAAAUAGUUCAGACACUGCACACUUUGUAGGAAGGCCCUGAAGCUUUGCCAGUGCCCUCGUCGCCGUCCAUUGUAUGCUUUACCUUUAGUGAGACACUGAUCAAAAUGCUUAUGAAAUAGUUAUUUCCCAGUAGAGAAUCUUACUUUCCUGCGGUUGCUGUAAUAAAUUAACCAACAGUCAA